rnacentral:rRNA from 1 species
UACGAGAGGCCCAAACGUUAUUCGGAUUUACUGGGCUUAAAGAGUUCGUAGGCGGCGCAGAAAGUAGGGUGUGAAAGCCCACGGCUCAACCGUGGAAGCGCAUCCAAAACUGCGUCGCUCGAGUCUCGGAGAGGAAGGUGGAAUGCUUGGUGUAGAGGUGAAAUUCGUAGAUAUCAGGAGGAACACCAGUGGCGAAGGCGGCUUUCUGGACGGUAACUGACGCUGAGACGCGAAAGCGUGGGGAGCAAACAGG